GACGAACGCUGGCGGCGUGCUUAACACAUGCAAGUCGAACGGAAAGGCCCUGCUUUUGUUGGGUGCUCGAGUGGCGAACGGGUGAGUAACACGUGAGUAACCUGCCCUUGACUUUGGGAUAACUUCAGGAAACUUGGGCUAAUACCGGAUAGGAGCUCCUGCUGCAUGGUGGGUGUUGGAAAGUUUCGGCGGUUGGGGAUGGACUCGCGGCUUAUCAGCUUGUUGGUGGGGUAGUGGCUUACCAAGGCUUUGACGGUUAGCCGGCCUGAGAGGGUGACCGGCCACAUUGGGACUGAGCUACGGCCCAGCCUCCUACGGGAGGCAGCAGUGGGGAAUAUUGCACAAUGGGCGGAAGCCUGAUGCAGCAACGCCGCGUGCGGGAUGACGGCCUUCGGGUUGUAAACCGCCUUCGCCUGUGACGAAGCGUGAGUGACGGUAAUGGGUAAAGAAGCACCGGCUAACUACGUG
rnacentral:rRNA from 1 species